AUUAUUUUAAUUCUGUCUUUCCAGAGAGAUUAUAAGGAAAUUGAUAUAUAUUUAGGCGGUUUGGAGGGUUGUUACUUUUUGAGAAAGUGAAUUAUCAUAAUAAAUAAUCUUAAGGUUGCAGUUUUCACGGGAAGGCAAAACAGAUGUGGCUCCAUAUCACCACUGGCUUCUGUUCGGCAUGGGGAAGCCAGGCUGACCUACUGCUAAAAUAGGGUUAUAUAAUAUUUGUUGAGGCUUGCAUCUUCCAGAGGCAACAAAAACAGUGAGUCUGGGUCUCUUAGGCAUGCCUGCUGACUUUGCAACCCAGAUCUGCCCACUUGCUGCUGGUCUAGUGAUUGUCUUUUGUCCUUGCGCAGUUCUAUAUGCGCUUUUUAGUAAUUCCAGUACUAAAAUUAACUUUUUCGUCAGGAAAUGUUUCAGUUGUAUGACAUAAUCUUUCUACAGACUUAGAACAUCACUUAGUGUAUCCUGAUUUAUGUAGGGAAACCUUAGGAUUUUUCUGAUACUGAUUUCACAAUAAGAGGAUUUGACAAUGUACAGGCACAAAACUUAGUGCCAGGAAGAAUUCAUCCAAAAAGAUGAAAGUUUUCUCCCUUUUGGAAAUCUACCCAGGAUCAACAUUAAGGUCUGGAAGAUAGUGAUGUCAACAGCAACAAUGGGAAAUGUAACUUGUUGCAGCCUUGAUGCUAUGCUUUUGAACACUCGGCACAUGUCUGGACAAAGGAAAGGCAUUUUCAACUGUUGUUGAAUGCAUAGCUGAGCUAAGAUGGAUGUUGACUAUUUUGGAUUAUAUUCCAUGGACUGUAUGUUGGAUGAUAAUGGAUAGUGUCAGGAAGAUGGAGAAGAUUUUGAAUAGAAUUCAUCCAGUUUCUGAUCCAGAAGCAACGUAUUUUCUGCAAGUAUCAUGGGAAAAAGAUUUAGGCGUUGGCUUUGGUGUAACACUUACUGAUGGUCAGUGUGCAUGGACUGGGACAGUGUCUGAAGCUGAGAUUUCUAGGGAGGCUGCUGACAUGGAAAUGAAUAGAGAAAAGUAUGUUGAAGAAUUGAAGAAAGCAUUGAUAUCUGGAGAAGAAUCAAGGGGCAAAUAUAACUUUGCCAUUUCAAGAGAUGAUAAAAAUAUGGACUGUCACUUCUCCUAUGAAAGAAACCUGAAAGAUGGCUCUUUUAGACUUGGAUCUCUGAAGCUACAGAAAGUUUCAAGUCCAGCAGAUGUGGUUAAGGAUCUGAUUGGUUACUGCCUGGACUGCCUGGGAAAACUACAGGCAAAAAAUGAGCAUCUGCAAAAAGAAAAUGAAAGGCUUUUCAGUGACUGGAGUGAUGUGGAGAAGCGGCUGGAAAAAUGUGUGGAAGCUAAAGAAGAACUAGAGGCUGAUCUUUAUAACCGGUUUAUUUUGGUGCUGAAUGAAAAGAAGGCAAAGAUAAGAAACUUACAGAAAUUGUUGAGUGAAGCUAAAGAAUCUGCAUCAGAUGCCAAAUGUACAAGGGAUAGUAUAGCUACCACUCAGAUGGCUACAGGGAGAGAAAAUGACUAUGAUGGAAGCACUGAUGAGGAAAGCGAGAAUUUAACAGGAGCCUCAUUACCAUCAGACCAAGAGUUUGAACAAAGAUGCAGAAUAACAGGAACAUUCGAGCUCCUUUCCUGGUGCCAUGUGGACAUUUUCCUCAGUUAUUCUCAGCAUCAGAACGAAAGGAUUCCUUCCUGGGUAGCCCAGAUGUCAUUGAUACUGGGCCAAGAAGAAAGCGAAGACAAAGGACAGCAAAGCCUACUGGGACAGGAGCUAAGAUGGCUACUUAUGAGACAGAACUGCCAGACAAGGAAAACAACCUUCAGUCUGCCAAUGACAGCCUCUCUAUAAAUGUGAUUUUUGUCCAAGCUUGUAUUGCUGUAACCAGUCUUCAGAAGACCUAUACAUUUCUCUCCCCCACCUGGACCUGAUCUGGCCUCACAGAAGACAUUGGGCAAACAUUGGCAGGAUGUGAUGUCUCUUGAAACACUGGAAAACACUUGCGAGCCGGAGGACCUCUUUGAUGACAUCUAGCUAUGUGUUGUCUGAGAAACUGAGAGACUGCUGCUUCUAAUAGAGAUAAGCUGUAAAACUAAAAGGCUUUGUUAUAGACACUGAGCUGAAAUCUUUCCUCUGAGGUGGUAUUUGAUGACAUAUUGCUCUAAUCCUCUUGCACUGCACUUGUCCCCCUUCUUCACUACAAAGCUGUACACCCUUGGCCUGCUAGGCUUGAUUUGCGAUAGCCUUGAAAUCAGGUUAGCCUGUAGAUCUUUUAUCAUUUGUGUAUGGGGAAGGAAAGCACCAUCACAGCAUUUUUACAUCCUAACAGUCCCUGGCUGCUGAUUGUGUCCAGGACUAACUGAUUUCAAGAUGUCCCUAGAGAAUAAGUCAGACAUAAAUUCUUCCACCGUACUUUCCUAAUAUACUGCCCCUUUCUUGAGAAGCUUAGCUUAGAUGUGGUCUAGCUAAAUCACCUUCAACUCGGAUUGAGAUAUAGGUCACUAAACCAUGAGUUUACAAUAAUAUCUUCUGAUGUGAAGCAUCCAAAGAAAUGUCUUUUUACUUGAAGGUUCUCUGAGGCGUUAUGCAUUAUAAGGUAUUCUUGCUUUGGGGAGUAAAGUGCUUAUAAAGUCAAUAUUGACUCUAUUUUAACCUUCUGUAGAAACCUAUAGCCUUUAAAAUUGUCAUUUUUGAUACUUCAUGAUUUUUCUUAAGGUGAUUUAUAGGAAAAUAAAA